AAUUUUUAAAUAACAUUUGACUCCAGUCUAAUUCAGACCCAUUGAAUGUGAACUGAUUAGGACUGAAUAUAACUGAUUGUUCUGUCUUUAGCAACCAGUUACAUUAAUGAAUGGCUUUAUGAAGUUGUCCCUCAGUUCAUCUGCACUUAUACUGAAAAUACAGUUGUUACCUUGUUAAUCACAUAAUCAUAAAUGUACUGUCUUACUUUCUUCUGACUUAUGAGCAUAGACACAAGAAAAAAUCUAGAAACUGAUAAGGGUUUGAAAGUCUCCUUUAUGUUCUUUAGUAAUAGGCACUAUGUUGGUCAGGGCACAUUUUCCAAAGCACCCACAUGUCUACCUCUACUCAGAUGUCAAUAGGAUAUAUGAUGAUUACCCCUUUGUGAUAAAUAGUGAGGAGACUAGAUUCAAGGAAAGUUAUACCAAGUUGUCAUAUUUCUUUCCAAAUAACGUGAAAAUAUGUACAGUCAAAUUUGACCUCAGUCAGUUCUAACUCUCCCAUUCAGCAUGCUAGCUGGGAAGCAUGCCUUCAGAGUUUCACUUCUCAGAACUCCCUGUUCAUUUCUAACAUUUUGACUUAUUCAACUCAAAUAAUGAGUCAAAAAUCAAGAAGCAAUUAAACUGAGUGCAAUUAAAUUUAGUAUGCCAGUCUUUCAUUCAGGUCAGAGCAUAAAUGAAAAUUAAAGAAAGUGCCAAAUUUGAUUAUUUGAACAAGAUAAAACCUAAAAUUUUAACUGCAGUAUAAUAAUUUAAACCUCAAACUCUUAUAGAAACAGUGUUUUGAAGUAUUAGAAUAACUCUUUUCUUUUUAGAAAAAUAAAAGCUUUCAAAGUAAGAAUAAUUUCAUAUUUUUCUUUCCUGUCCAACUCUGCUCUACUUUAUACCCCAUAUGGCUGGUUAUCUCCCCUUCAGAACUCUUCCAGAUUGGUCUUACAAUAUUUUCAUCUUUUCAUAUGUUAACAUGACAAAUAUCUGUCCCCAUUUUCCAUAGUCACCUGAUGUCAGAUGCAACCUUUCUUAUAAUACCUUCUUUAUCUACUGUUUUCAGAAAAAAAAAAAAAAAACCAAAAACUAAUCCACUUUAAUACAUUUUCUUUAUAUCCUUCUAAUUUGGAGCUUUUUGGUGGUAUAGGUGGAUAUAUCUAAGUCCUUACAAAUUGGAAUUUAUAGCCCACCAAGGUGGAAAGAAACUUACCUCUUAACUUCGUAAAAGCAUUGAGAGACCCUGACAUAUUAUAUUCAAAGCAGUAAAUGAAAGACUAAUAACUUAUUUUCAAUAGUUAUAAUGGAAACCAAAAAACAGUGAUAUGACACUUUUUCUAGUGAUCCCAUCUAGAUUUUAUAAACACAGAAAAUAUUCCUCAGAAAUGAAGUUUCCACUUAGAUUCAAAAGCUGAGCAGACCCAUAUUAAAGAAAUAUCUCAGGAAGUUCUUCAGAAAGACAAAAGCAAGGGUGUGCAGGGAGAAUUAUAAAAUAAAACGAGUGAAAAUAUGGGUAAAUCCAAAUGAAUGCUGACUAUCUAAAUCAUUAAUACGAAUAUCUUAUGGGGUUUAAAAUAUGCUUGUCUAGAUAUAAGUCCCCAAUACUAAAAAUUGUAGAACACUAUUGAAAGAAGUUAAAGAAAAACUAAACAGAGGAAUAUGCCCUCUUUACCAGUUAGAAGACUCCUAUUGUUUUGUCUGUUGUUACUCAAGGUGACCUCAAAUUCACUAGAAUCCCCAUAAAAAUUCCAGAUUUUUUUCUGUGGAAAUUUAAAAACUGAUUCUAGUGUUUCUAUGGAAACGCUGUCAAAGUAACCAUGCAGAAGAAGAAUAAAGCUAGAAGAUGUGGAACGCCAAGGCAAGAAAAGUCAAAUGACCUUGAUCUUACUGUUGGUGCUGAGUGGAAAGCCCACACUCCAGAAGCUCAUUAAAAGGGCCAAGUUACAGUACAGGUUUAUUUCUGUCACAGCGUUUCUGAAAACAGUGACAAGGAUUAAUAUGUUUCUUUAGUACUGGAAAAAGCCUGACACAAUCCCUUGUGAAUUUGAUCAUCUGUUUCAUUGCCUGUAUAAGAUUCAAUCUCUUAUUAUAUCCUGAAGUUACAGCUGUAAACUAAUGCUGGUAAGAAUUCAUAAGCUAUUGCAGAAGCCUGGGGCAAAACUAAUUGUUUUAUUCAGCAGUCACUUAUUUAUUUAUUAUUUAUUUCAUACCCCUCUGUAUCAUCUUUUCUACUGUUCCUCUUCAAAGUCAAAAUUGUCUUGGCUCUUUGUCUGAAAGUACAGAGCAAAUAUAGAGACAUGGGGAAUUCAUGUUUCCGGGAGCUUUCAAAAAAGUUGUUACAGGUCGGUGGAUCGUGAAAAUAAGGUCCACUCUACAUCUUUUAUAAAACUAUUCUUGCUUUCCUUUCCUUGACAUGGAGAUUCUUUAUUAAAAAGCAUUAUCUGCACAAACAUUAGAACCUUUGUGUUCCAUGUAAUCAUGUGACAUUAGGCUUUCUCCGCUAGUGGUUGCUAUGUUUCUAGGACAUGAUUUGACAUGUGGUACAUGCAAAUCCUAGUAAAGUGUAAACUAUAUCAUAAAAUGAUUCCAUUUUGCAUCACAUUCGAUUGGCAAAUAGCUAUUUGCUGUUUUAAAAAAUUAAAGGUUGUAACAAUAUGCUGUAUGGAUUCCAUAAAACAAAUCAUCAUUUAAACUAAGGAAUCGCUCUCUUCUUCUCUUUCUCAAGUUAGUUGUAGAUGAAUAUUCAUUUCUUAACUACCAGUUUUUGUCAUUAUGGCAAAUUUUAGGCUAUAUUAGAAUUUUAGAUACAAAAAUAUAUGUUCAAAAUUUCAAACAUUGUGCAAGUAUGAAAUAAUCCAUUUGUGUUCACUUUAUGAGAGUUGGUGGAAAUUAUUACAAGAUUAGGUAGAAGCAGUAUGUUCAUGCAAUGUCUGAAAUUAGAUCAUAAGCUUCCCUCGUUCUUAACAGAAGUUGUGUGCCUAAUUCCCUAUGCACUACAGACAUUUUAACCCACAAUAACUGAUUGUAAAUACAGUAUGAAACUAGCUACAGCCUUAUUUACACCUGCCAAUUUGCUGCCCUCCAGCACUAAAAACAAAAACAAAAUGGUAGCAAAAGAACUGCCAAGCAAAACACACUCUGCCCCUCAUGUACAUUCCUUUCUAUUUCCGCAAACAGAACCUUUUGCUUCUUGAUUUUCAUCAACAAAUUCAAUCGGGGAAUUUAAAAUAAAGUUACAGAACAAGGCAUUUGCGUGACAUGGCCAUUAACAAAAUAAUUUUUAAAAUGGCCAGCUCUUCCAAAUGUGUGUCCCCUUAAAAUAAUGUAAAUGCUGUAAGUGCUUCAUGGCGCUUGUAAUUAAGAGUAACACAUGGAAAAAGAAAAUAAGGAAACACACAUGUGCCACUCAAUGUAUAUGUCGCAAUGGCAGCCACCUAUUUUUACUCAAUAACUACAAGAUUUACACUCAGUUUUGUUCAUAUAAUAAAACUCCAUGUUAUUCAUUAGAAAGAAUGUAUCAGAGAUAUUUGGUUGAUAAGGUUGCAUUCCCUGUUGCUUUUUUGUGCUUCCCUGUCAUAUCUCAUUUACAUAAUGGCAGCCCAAAUAUUUCCGUUUCUAUUUUUUCGGAAACUUAAAGCGUUUGUCAACGUUUUUGUGAAGAUUCCCUACAAACUUGAUUCAAUGAAAAUAACUACUGCUAAAUGCUAGACAGCGGCUUACCCUUCCAUUGUGGAUAGCAAUGAUUUGCAUCAUUGCAUAUAUUACUUGACUUGCAUGUAUUAAAAUAGUAAAUAAGGCAUACAAUAAUAUUGCAUACAUAAUGAUAUGAAUAAUUUGUGUAUCAAUAUUCUCUUUUUCCUGUGAGUCGAUUCAUGUUAUUUGAUGUUGAACUCUAUCCUUAAACAUUCAAUACAUUGAUUAACUUUUUUAAGGAUGUUGAGGACAAAUAUUAUGUUUAUUACAUGCAAGAAAAUUGAGGAUUACUUUUUAGACAAAUAAUUGAUGACUAAGCCAAAGUUAGAACUCAAUACUCUUUAGACUAGAUCUUAACGUUUCAUUUUAAAAGAGUAUUCUUUACAGGGCUUGCAAACACAUAUGUGGGGAUCUAUGUUUGAUUGGCUAGAUCGUGGGAUCCUGAAAACAAGAUAAAUGUCUCAUUUAACCUUUAACCAACAUUAAACAUGUAUUUGGUAUUCAGUAAAUAUUCAUUAAAUUAAAUAAAUGGACACUUUCAGUAUAUAAAUUGCCAAUAUAUGGUAUAACAACAUACCAAUUCUUGUCAUUUAUGGUAAUGAUAUUUAUUGGUUUUUCAGGUCAGUAUAUUGCAAUUACAAAUUGUUGCACAUGGGGGCACCUGGGUGGCUCAGUCAGUUAAGUGUCCAAAUCUUGAUUUCAGCUCAGGUCAUGAUCUCACAGUUGGUAAUAUCGAGCCCCUCUUUGGGCACUGCGCUGACUACACAGAGCCUGCUUGGAAUUCUCUCUCUUCCUCUCUCUCUCUCUCUCUUCCCCUCCCCCACUAGCACUCACACUCUCACUCUCUCGCUCCCUCAAAAUAAUUUUUUUUUCAUUUUAAAAAUCUUAAAAAAACACAAAUUGUUGCACAUGGUAUAUUUAUUGUGCCUUUUAAUGGGAAAUGAGGUGAAUAGGAAUAAAAAACAAAACAAAACCUUAGCCGGCAUUGGAUGCCAGAUAUUUGGAUGUUGUAUGCUGCUGUUCUUAAAAAGAGAUUUGAUAUUUUAGGAGAGAAAAAAAGGUAAAAUCCCAAGAAUUGCCUUUUUCUUUUUUGGUAAGCCUAUGAAGGAUAGAAUUAUAUGAAACAUUAGGAAACAUGAAAAUAAAUAUAAGAAGAAUGCUAUAAAAGGCAUGAUUGCUAUAAAUUUAUGGGAGAGUACUAAUCAACUCAUGUCAUUCAGAAAUUGCCUAAAAUAUAAAGUUUCAAUUCUGUGACUGAUUUGAGUAAGCAAAUAGCAUGCCCUUAUAUUUACCAUGGAAAUCUAUACUAAGAAAUAGACUAAGAUAUAAUUUGUUAAAACAAACUUUGAAACUAAUUAUAUGUAGCAUUAGUUAAAAAUAACCAAAUAUUUCAAAUUUCUAGGAACUCAUUAAUUAAAAAAAAUUCACACUGAAACUAGGAGAAAGUCCACACAUGGCUGCUUUGGUCUCUUCUUAGAUUCAGAAUCUGUUUUUACCAAUGUCUGUUCUCAUCUUAAAUCCUAGAGUGGUCAGGCAUUGAAUUAAGCUAUGUAGGUAUAUGGUAGAAAUCUGAGGCGUAUUUCUAAGGACAGAAUGUAUGCCUACAAUGCCGAUCAGACACUUUAAAAGUACUGUUUAUUUAGGAUGAUUAAUGACUAUCUAAUGUCUUGUUGACUUUUCUUUGCAGUUAAGUGGUCAUCUCAAGUUUAUUUUGGUAAGAAGGCACUGUUCUGGGAAGUGAAUUCAAAUCUUUAGUUCUCAUCUAUUUAACCUUUAGAUUUUCAUUAAGUGGAAAUUAUGGUUUGUUCCCUCAAUUUCCUUUUUUCUGCAUUAUACUGCACCUUUUUCUUUAAAAAUGUUCAAACCAGUGAAUUAGAUGUAUUCUGUAAUGUGCUGAAAUUUGUAGCUGCCCUUAGUUCAAGUGACUUCAGAAAAUUGUAGUAAGUUAAUGAUCAAUUGUCUGUGAAUAAAGAGUAUUACAGACCAUAA